rnacentral:rRNA from 1 species
UGAGUGCGAGCUGCUACGGCAGCGAAGUGGGUGACGUCAAGCUUCCAAGAAAAGCCCUAGACCCGUUAAGGCAUGAUUGCCUGUACCCGAAACCGACACAGGUGGGGUGGUAGAGAAUACCGAGGGGCGCGAGGUAACUCUCUCUAAGGAACUCGGCAAAAUGGCCCCGUAACUUCGGGAGAAGGGGUGCCAGCGAGAGCUGGUCGCAGUGAAGAGGCCCAGGCGACUGUUUACCAAAAACGCAGGUCUCCGCUAAGUCGCAAGACGAUGUAUGGGGGCUGACGCCUGCCCAGUGCCGGAAGGUUAAGGAAGCUGGUCAGCGCAAGCGAAGCUGGCGACUGAAGCCCCGGUGAACGGCGGCCGUAACAAUAACGGUCCUAAGGUAGCGAAAUUCCUUGUCGGGUAAGUUCCGACCCGCACGAAAGGCGUAACGAUCUGGGCGCUGUCUCGGAGAGAGGCUCGGCGAAAUAGAAUUGUCUGUGAAGAUGCGGACUACGUGCACCCGGACAGAAAGACCCUAUGAAGCUUUACUGUAGCUUGGUAUUGUGCUCGGGCUCGGAAUGCGCAGGAUAGGUGGGAGGCAUUGAUCCAUUGCUUGCGGGUGAUGGUGAGCCAUUGGUGAGAUACCACUCUUUUCGAGUUUAAGUUCUAACGGCCACCCGUUAUCCGGGGGCCGGACAGUAUCAGGUGGGCAGUUUGACUGGGGCGGUCGCCUCCUAAAAGGUAACGGAGGCGCGCAAAGGUCUGCUCAGGCUGGUUGGAAAUCAGCGACGAGUGUAAAAGCAGAAGCAGGCUUGACUGCGAGACCUACAAGUCGAACAGGGAGGAAACUCGGCUUUAGUGAUCCGACGGUUCUGCGUGGAAGGGCCGUCGCUCAACGGAUAAAAGUUACUCUAAGGAUAACAGGCUGAUCUCCCCCAAGAGUUCACAUCGACGGGGAGGUUUGGCACCUCGAUGUCGGCUCAUCGCAACCUGGGGCUGAAGUCGGUCCCAAGGGUUGGGCUGUUCGCCCAUUAAAGCGGUACGCGAGCUGGGUUCAGAACGUCGUGAGACAGUUCGGUCCAUAUCCGGUGCACGCGCAGGAAUAUUGAGAGGGUUUCUCCCUAGUACGAGAGGACCGGGAGGAACGCACCUCUGGUGUGCCAGUUAUCGUGCCAACGGUAAACGCUGGGUAGCCAUGUGCGGAGAGGAUAACCGCUGAAAGCAUCUAAGUGGGAAGCCCACCUCAAGAUGAGUAUUCCCAUGGCGUUAAGCCAGUAAGGUCACGGGAAGAACACCCGUUGAUAGGCUCUAUGUGGAAGCGCAGUAAUGCGUGAAGCAGAGGAGUACUAAUAGACC